GCUGGGCAUGGUGGCGGAUGCCUGUAAUCCCAGUUACUUGGGAGGCUGAGGCAGGAGAAUCGCUUGAACCCAGGAGGCCGGGGUUGCAGUGAGCCGAGAUCGCGCCAUUGCAUUCCAGCCUGGGUGACAGAGUGAGACUCCGUCUCAA
rnacentral:SRP_RNA from 1 species